GAGAUUCUGUUUUCCCAUAUGCAUUACAAUUAGGACCUGUUAUAAAGUUUAGUUAAUAAGAGACAGGAUUUUGUAUUGUGUCUAUGUUAAUUAGAUUAAAGGAAUGUUGAAGGCCUGAGCACAAUGUAAACUGUUUUUGACCACAAGAUUUAGUGAAGUUUAAUUUCUGUCUUCUCUGUUUCAGAGUAACAGCCGUGUUAGUCUGUAUUCG